rnacentral:rRNA from 1 species
UACGGAGGGUGCAAGCGUUAUCCGGAUUCACUGGGUUUAAAGGGUGCGUAGGCGGCCUAUUAAGUCAGUGCUGAAAUAUCCCGGCUUAACCGGGAGGGUGGCAUUGAUACUGAUGGGCUUGAGUAAAGUUGAGGUAGGCGGAAUUGACGGUGUAGCGGUGAAAUGCUUAGAUAUCGUCAAGAACACCUAUUGCGAAGGCAGCUUACUAAGCUUUAACUGACGCUGAUGCCCGAAAGUGUGGGGAUCAAACAGG